CUCGUUUGAGCGCUUUAAAUUUUCAGAGCUUAAGAUGCGGCGCUCAUUCGGGGGCGGCGCUCAUUCGGGGGCGGCGCUCAAUCGAGUAAACACGAUACUUGUUGCGAUUUUAAUGAAUGAACAAUUUAAUUAAUUAAAGAUUUAUAUACUUGGUGUGACCCUCCUAAAAUCUCAUCAGGCCCUAGAGCGAUGAGAAAUAUUUUCUAUUAUAUAUCCAAUACUUAGUUACGCAAAGUAAAAAGCUAUAUAUAUACGGAUGUUUUUCAAUUUUAUUUAAACAAUACAGUUACGCAUUGCGAAGACGUUCAAAACUAUAAAAGUCAGUCCAAGGUAUUUACAAGGUAAUGCAUUUUGUCUUAAUUUACUCACAUACUGCGGUGAACGUAAAAAACUAGAACAGCUGUAUGAAUUUAAAUAAGUUUUAUUGUAUUUAUGAAAGGAUAACUCAAAUUUUGGUAUAUGACAUUUCAUGUAAUGUUGGCCCUGCCCAAAAUGCGUGGUGAAAACGUUUACCCUCACGCGUGCAUCGAGUCUACUUUGUUUAUCAUUUAUAUGACAAGGUUGGCAAGAUUUUUUAACGGAAAUUUAUUACGUUUACUAGAUUAUGAAUAUUUUGCAAAUUACAAGCAAAAACAAUAUGAAAUAUACAUAAUUUCAAACACUUCAUGGUAAUACGUUCUCCAUGGGUUUUAACUUCAAAAGUUCAUUGUAAGGAUGUUAAAAAAGCGCAUAGCCAGAAAUAUGCGACAUACGCGACUGCGAGGCACACGCACUUUUGUCAGCGUGUCAAGUGUUGCGCAUGAGUAAUUGAAAUAUUUUGUGAUAUACGAUCCGGAGGUUUAUCAAUAUCCCGCGGCUUUCGUCUGGCCUUUGGUUUCAUUAGGAUUGCUUAAAACCCGAGAUUUCAGCAGUAUUUAAUGAUAAAAACUUGCGCGUAUGACUUAAAAGCAUGUUUUUAAAGACAAACAAGAAACGAGCUUCAAAAAAAUAAUUUAGGAAAAGAAAUUGACCGAAAUCGCACCGAGUUAUGGCCAUGCUAUUGGAAGCAAGACGAAGGUCGAAGUUCAGUUAUCGGUCUUGGAUCCCUCUAAAGUCUAAACUACCUUUAAAACAACUAGGCAGGGACAAGGGAAGAGAAGAAUAUUUCUUCGUUUUUAUAUCAUUCAAAGCCGUAAGAACCUCAUCGAAUGUAGGAAUUUGUAUUGUCUACAACGCGCAGCGAAGGAAUCUUAUUGUAUUGCUGUAUUAGUAAUACAAUUUACUAUAAAUAUUGGGAAUCAGGCUCGGGUGAUCACUUAGUGUUGCAUGUAGAAUACUGAAUCCCUGACUUAAAUUUUUGCUUCUGCGGGAUGCUCAAAUACUCGGACAUUUUUGAGGUCUUUUGAGUAUUUGCAGUUGGCGCGUUAUUUAAAUUUCGUGGGAAAAUGCAGCAUACCGCUGCCCAGUACAGUAUUGAAGUCUCACAAACAUGAAGCCACACAACGGUUUGGUCAGUGGCGAAUAUAUAUUAUUUCAUGCUCCGAACAUAAACAAAACAUCAUGGAGUCUAUAAUUUUGAAAACGAGCUUUAAUUUGGUCUUUAAAGUUUUGAAAUACCCCAAAUAUUCGAGAAGUUAUGGCUGUUUCAAUGUGCAAGAUAUUUGCUCCUUUAGCGGAGGAUUUGCGAACGCUUUCGUGUGCGUUGAAAUAUAUUUUACGAGGGACAAACGGGAAUAAGAUAAGCGAACGAAAUAUUUAUAUAUCACGAUACUAGACAUCUUCGAGUCGCAACUUCAAGUUUCGUUUGUAAAUUUUGUCCGUUCAUUUAAUUUUUUUUGCCUGUUUUAUAGUCACUGUCGUCUACUUGACAUGUAUUAUUACAGUCACGGCCUUAUAGAGAACUGACUUUCAUAAAAUUCGCAGGGGACAAAUCGCGAUUUGUAGUAUACGGUAACUAUUUGGUGGAUAAUAUUCUCCGAUAUUUACUGUAUAAUGUCUUGCUUUCGUUUGUUCCGAUUCACAAAAAGUUUAGCUAAUAUUUUAAAUAAUUGUGCAAUUCUAAUACAAUUUCAUAUAAAAAUAUUUUAAUUAAAAGCAAUCGGAUACAUGCGCUUGAGGUGUUGCGCAAUCGCAUGUCGCGUUUUUCUGGCAAUGGGAUUCUUUUCGGAAUUUUUUUGCAAAAUUUUGUCAAAACUAUGCUGGGGUCACCUAGUCUGUGAUGAUGUCAUACACGCGUAAAAACGCACAGCUUGUAACAAGUCUGCAAACAAGUUGUUACAAGUCUGCAUGUUAACAAGUUGUGUUCGCACUGCUUGUUCCAAGUUUGUUGUAACAAGUUUGGAACACGCUGUUAACAACUUGUAACAAGCUUGAUGGCAUUAUCAGCUUGUUACAAAACUGUGCCAACAAGUUUGUUACAGCCAUUGAUAUAACAAGGAUGUUACCAGGUUGUCAACACAAGGUUGUAAAAAUCUUGUUACAUCAAGCAUGUAACCACAGAGAAGAGAUAUACAGAGGGGAAACACGCGGCAAAUUGUGUCACGCCGGUAUAUUCAGUCUAUUAUUAUAGAAAAUUAUAUUAAUUCGCUAUUUUAUUAAAUUUUGACCAUGCAGAGGAAAAAACUAUACGUAUUAUAGAAGUAAACAUGUUUUUUUUAUGCAAGAGAUAUAUUUUGAGGCAUUUAUAUCAUUUGCUGCUUUGUUUUUGAUAUAUGAGCAUCUCAAACCUUCAGCCAGUGCUUUUCACGAUUUUAAUAAGGAAUAGAUAGGGAAAUAAACAAACUUUUGCAAAAUAAAAUGUAAUGUUAACACUUUGAAUAAAAAGAAAUCAAUAAAAGUGAUCGCUUACCGUUAUUCUACAAUAAUUUAUUGAACAAAACUUCCAUGGGUAUCUCAUUUUAAAAAAAAAGCGAUUUUCACCUUUCGAACGGCGUUUUCCCUAUCUUUUGCUAUGAAAUUUCAGCGACGGCACUGGCUGGAAGAUUUUGCGUGGCGCGUGGAACCUGCGUGGACGGCGUGACACAGAAAUUCAGGUUAUCGAGGUGUCUGUUUCCUCUCUGAUAUAUCUUUACUCUGUGAUGUAACGGACUUCUCAGAAUAACCUUGCAACAAGUCUGAUAAUUUCGACAAGGUUGUUACAAGUUGUCAGCACGUUGUUCCAAACCUGUUGACAUCUUGUAACAAGCAGCGCGAAUAUAUCUUGUUAUAAUAAUAAUAAUAGCUUUAUUCAUCCAUCUUAAGAUAAAAAAGUACAAUGGACUUACAAUUACUUGUUUAAGAAAGUAUAUAUGCUGCGGAUAUGUCUUUAUAUUACAAAUUGUUGUAAGAUAAUUUAGAAAACUAACUAAGAAGUUAAAACUAAUAAAUUCUUUAAUCUAAUAAGUUCUUCUAAUAAGUUAAAACUAUUUAUACAUAUUUACAAGCUCUACCUGAAAAUGAAUGUUUAUGCCUUUCAGUUCCUGAGAAGAAUGAUAUAUUGCGAUUCCGGUCAAUGUUCCUUAAAUUGUACUGAUUGUUAAUUAAUUUUGGCAAAACACUGCGACAGGGAUGGUGUGGAUCGUUCAUAAACCUAUCAACUUCUCGACUAGUUGCCUCUUCCCUUCUUUCGUUCAACGGUGGUAGGUAAUCUUUUUCCAGGCCAAGGAUUCUUAAGCUCCUGGAUUGAACCCGCUCUAUUUCAUCUCGCAGGUAAUUAGGGAGUCCCGCCCAGACAGGUGAUGCAUACUCGAGAAUUGGUCUUAUUUUGGAUUGAUAGGUAAUAAUACCGACUUCAGCUGGUAACUGCGAUUUCCUGCAUUCUCUAAGAUGGUAAAGGCGUUUAUUUGCUUUACGUGUAAUCUCUUCAACAUGUGCGUUCCAUUUUAGAUUAUUUUGGAACGACACGCCAAGUAAUUUAAAAGCGUUGACCCUUUCUAUUAACUCAUUUCCAAUACGAAGACGUGGUGGUUCAGGUAUAGCGUCCGUGAACGAGAUCCACAUGUCCUUAGUUUUUUUAGCAUUAAUUGCCAUUUUAUUUAACACCGCCCAGUUAUUUACUUCAUUGAUAGAUUGUUGUAAAUUACUAUUAGAAUCUACGCUCACUAUUUGGUGUUGUGUGCAGUCAUCUGCAUACUUAUUCGUACUGACUUUUAGUUGUUCUGGUAAGGCGUCCUCCAAAUCAUCAAUGUAGGUAUUAAAAAGAAUGGGAGAUAUUACAGAGCCUUGCGGGACUCCGGCCGGGCAUGUUGCAAUGGAUGAUAAGGUACCAUUGAGAUUUACUUGUUGAACUCUUCCGGAAAGGAAACUUUUAAUCCAUAACCAGAAGGGUUUAUUUAUGUUCAUAGCUGCUAAUUUGUUCAAAAGAAUAUUGUGAUCCACAAGGUCGAAGGCCUUACGAAAGUCAAUGAAGGCCGCAUGAACCCCCAUUUUGCCUGUUUUUGAACAAUCAGUGGCAUUAAACCAGGUUUGGGUAGUUGAUAUUAACGCAGAGACUGUGCUUCGAUGUUGAGUAAACGCGUGCUGGUUAUUCUUAAUUUUCAGGUCUUCAAUAUUUAACUGGAGCUGGAUCUUUUCCAGGAUCUUGGCAAGAUGGGGUAAGACUGAUAUCUGGCGGAAAUCAUUGUUAAUGUCUCUCGGCGGUUGCACUUUAGGAACAGGGGAAAUUAGGGCAUGUUUGUAGAGUGAUGGAUAACAACAUUGACUUAUACUACAGCACACAAUGUCAUAAACCACAGGAGCUAGGUCUUCGUGGUAUUGUUUGAGCAUCCAUGCAGGAACCUUAUCGAUGCCAGUUGCUUUUCUUGGAUUAAGAUGUUUUAAGACCGCUUUAACUUGGCCAAUAGAAGGAAGGGGUGGUUUGUUAUUCUUAUGUGGGUGGUUCACUUCAGGUAUUUCAAAGGCGACAUUCGUGUAACGGUCCGACCAUGGUUUAGUGAAGGCUUUCUGAAGUUUUUCAGCUAAGUCGGAUAAGUCUAGGUUUUCGGGCCCGUGUGGAAAUUGGGUGUGGGUUGUGUUUUCGGCAUUUACUAAAGAGUAGAUACAGUUAUACCACUUCGAUUGAUUCGAGGUACGAAAUUCUGAGGCCUUGGACCGAUAGUAGGUGGCUUUAGCUUUAGCUAUAAGAUUUGCCACUUUCUCGCAUAGUUGUUUGUAUCUUGGCUGAUCACCACGAGAAAAGGCCUUCUGACGAGCUUUGAUUUGCAUUUUAAUAUUACCGGUGAUCCACGGUUUAUCAGAGUGAUGUACUCUGAUGGUUUUUUCAGGUAAGAACUCGUCAAGCAUCUUGAUUAUAAUGGAGUUAUAAGCUGAUACUUUCUCAUCCACAUCCAGUGCUGAAUAUACAGUAGUCCAAUCUUCAGAAGCUAUAUUCAGGGAGAGGUCAUUUAAAUUUGCUCGUUUCAUCAAUCUAAUUUUUUUUGACGUAACCGGAGUUUUCUGUCUUUUAAUGGGCUUGAUUAGAAGACAUUGGUGGUCGGAGCGUCCGAUUGGGGGGAGAUGGCUAACAGUGUCAAAGAGAGGGAGCAUAUUUGUAAGGAUUUGAUCAAGAAUGUUGUGUCCUCUAGUCGGUUUAGUUACGGAUCUUUUUAAAUUAAAUCUGUUACAUAGUUCUCUUAAUUUUAGUUGAUUGAAGUCCCCAGCUAUAACAAUUCCAGAUGAAGGACGUUCGCGCAAGAGACUAUCUAUACAAGUAGUUAAGUAUUCAUUCAUAUCGAUUGCUUGUUCGGCGGAUUGACCAGGAGGGUAGUACACAACAGCAGCAACGAUUGUACUGUAAGGUCUAGGGGUUCUUGGGGGUUUUAACAACAACCAUAUCACUUCUUUGUUUUCUUCUUCGAGGUGAGUCAUACGCUCUGCUGGUAAACAAUUAUUCACGUAGGCGAUCACUCCACCGCCAGGAGACUUUCUAUCGCGACGAAAUAUGUUGUAUUUAUUACCGAUCUUAACCGAGGAAUCACCGAUAUCAUCACUUAGCCAAGAUUCAGUUAUCAUUACCACGGAUGGGUCAUAGAUCGAUACAACAGCAGCUAAUUCGUCUACCUUAUUUGUUAUAUGGCAUACAUUUGACAAGAGGAAGGACGGGACUGAGGACUUUCCAAUGGUGGGGUUUGUAUUAGUCUUAAUGUUAAUUAAAUUAUUAAAAUUUACACUUCUCUGAGAUGUAUAAUUAUCACUUGUCCGUUGGAUUGCGCCUAAACGAGGGUUCCAAACUGGUCCAAGGUGCGGUUGACCAGCUGUAGGUAAGCUUCCCAGGACUCCGUUUCUCCAAGCUGUAACUCUGACUUUGAUUGGAAAGGAUUCACUUUGUAUGCCGGGUUGAUUUGACUUGCUCUUGUAUCUGUAUUGUCUGCUGUUGUUCUUGGUUUCGGAAUCCACCGAUAGCGACCGCUUCGAAAAAUCUUUGAGGGAAAAUUUGCUUGACGAUAUUGAUGUUUAGGUUCGGAAAACUGAUUGCGCCGGUAAUUAGGUUUCGAGAAAUGCGUUCUGUUAGUUGAGGAAUUAUGCAUUGGAUUCCUCCUAUGACGAUCCAUGUUGGCGUUUAAGGCGGCCUGAUUGCGCCGGUAAUUAGGUUUCGAGAAAUGCGUUCUGUUAGUUGGAGAAUUAUGCACUUGAUUCCUCUUAUGACGGCUUGUUGGCAGACUUGUUACAAGAUGGGAGAUUUUUACGUGUUUUAACAAGUUUUAAGUUUUUUACGUGUUUUUACAAGUUUUAACAAACUUGCAGCAGACUUGUAGCAAUGCUGUUCCAAGUUGUUCCAACAACUAGUUAUCGUCCUGCAAUUCAACAAUUUGUCAACAAGUUGUGAGUGACAAGCUUGUAGCAACUUGAUAAAAUAACAGCAUUGUUACAACUUGUUGACAAGCUUGCUGCAAACCUGUUGCGAACACAUCUUGUUGACAAGUUGUGAGAUUUUUGCGUGUGUAGACUCGAUGCACACCCGAGAGCCACGUGCGAGGGUAAAAAUGUUCACCACGCAUUUUUGGGCUGCCUAUGGAUGGUUGGCCAAGAUAUAGCCGACGGUUAUGAACCGUUUGAACUUAAUUUGAAUUCAGUUGGCACCGUAUUUACUCGUUUGAUACCGUAUUUACUCGUUUGAGCGCCGCGGCGCUCUUUAAUUUUUCAGAGCUUCAGAUGCGGCGCUCAAUCGGGGGCGGCGCUCUUUAAAAAAUAUUUUAUUUGUGAAUUAUAAGAAGAACUUUUAACAAUAAAAUAAACAAGUUUUAAAUGUUUUUGUCACUAAAUGUCCCCAUUUUGACGGGCAGAAAGUUUUUACACUAUUUAGUGCGGCGCUCAUUCGGGGGCGACGCUCUUUUAAAAAAAUUGAUCUCAAAUGCGCGGCGCUCAUUCGGGGGCGGCGCUCAUUCGGGGGCGGCGCUCAAUCAGGGGCGGCGCUCAAACGAGUAAAUACAGUACGGUAAUUUCCUGCCAGCUUUGGAACAAGGAAAAUUUGUUCAUGUGUACGGCCGCCAAGGAAAAUUUGACAAGUGCACAAGAAAUACUUCUAUGGUUUUUGGCAAACGAAAGGCGGUCAUGACGUCAGAUAAAUGUUUAACACAGGGUUCGUACAAAACUUGAAAAGUCCUUGAAUGUCCUUGAAUUUGAAAACAAAAAUUCAAGGCCUUGAAUGUCCUUGAAUUUUUAAAGAAGUACUUGAAUGUCCUUGAAUUCUUCUUGCUUUAGUUUUUGGAUAUUUUCUGAAAUUGUUUGACAUUCAAGACGGACAUUUUGUUGAACUGAUUUUGCAUGUUCAUACACCCUUUUCAUAAAUGGCUGCCGAUUAAAAAUUAUUUUAUGUGCAUAUAAAUUGGCCCAACUAGCCUCGCUUCUGGGUAGAAAUUCCUUUGAAAUCUUAACAUGAGUACGAGGCUAGUUGGGCCAAUUUAUAUGCACAUAAAAUAAUUUUUAAUCUGCAGCCAUUUGUGAAAAGGGUGUAUAUCUGACCUCAUUAUAAAGUUACGUUUUGAACAAUUCAACGUCAGAUUUUGCUGAUUUCUAACGCCUUCUCUUCAGUAUUUAGUCCUUGAAUUUGCUGAUACAUGGCCUUGAGUGUCCUUAAGAAGUCCUUGAAUUUGACUCUUCCUGACAUGUACGAACCCUGUUAACAACAUUCUGUGCACACGAGCAACAAAACUUGUCAAGGGAAAAUUGUCGAGCGUACACACGAGAAAGUAAUUUUGUCAAGGAACACGUGCUCAUCUAUAUAGAUUUAAUUCUGCAUAUAGAUAUCUUCUGGCUAGUUUAUGGAAGCAUAAAAACCAUUAGUUUAGCCUGUGUGAAUGCACGUGUUUCAAGGCUCCUCCGUUGAUAGCCUGCUAUUUAUUUUAUAGUUUACUGUAAUUGGUUAAAAUGUUUCUCAAACUGCUCGUGAUUGGUUGUCUCGUUGCCACGGAAAUGAGCUACGUCAUGUCAGCUCCGCAGGGGGAUUGCCACGUGAGAUAUUGGUGCAGUUACUUUAUGGGUGGAAGACCGGUACAGUCAAAUAUCCCGUUGCCCACAAUUGAAAUGACGAAAACACCAGAAAUCUCAAACUCGGCUGUUGGGAAAACAGAAAAUUAUCGUUUCCGGUCGAAAUUUGGAGCUUUGCUGAACGGACCAAUCAAUGAAAUUGAAAACGGUCGAAAUUGAAAGAAUUAUACGACAAGACUGCAAAAACGUAUAUAAAAUAGUUUGAAAACGCAAUUUUAUGGUAUAUUUUACAGAAAUUCAAGUUUGUAAGACCAGACACGGUUUGCAAAGUUGUGUUUGCUUCAAUUACAGAUGCAGUUGGAUAUGGAAAUAACAUGACGUUCUCUUUUUGCUGUUUAUUCUUAUGAAUAGGACUCUCUUAUUAUUCUAAAAUCAUGGUAAUAAAAUUUCAUCAUAGUGAGCUAGUGACUGUGAAUACUGCUGUUCUCCAUGUCAUCUAGACAUGAUUCAGUAUUUUAUUAUUUUGAAAAUCUCAUUGUCUUCCAUGCCAGCCAGUCUCUGCCACCCAGUCAUGACCCAAGAAUCAGAAUGUUCCAUUGUCUUUCAUUGUUUUGAAAAUCUCACUGUUGUCCAUGCCAUCCAGUCAUAAUCCAGUGAUCAGAAUGUUCCAUUGUCUUUUCAUUGUUUUGAAAAUCUCACUGUUCC